rnacentral:rRNA from 1 species
AUUGAACGCUGGCGGCAGGCCUAACACAUGCAAGUCGCACGAGUGGCGGACGGGUGAGUAAUGUCUGGGAAACUGCCUGAUGGAGGGGGAUAACUACUGGAAACGGUAGCUAAUACCGCAUACCAUCGGAUGUGCCCAGAUGGGAUUAGCUAGUAGGUGGGGUAAAGGCUCACCAAGGCAACGAUCCGUAGCUGGUUUGAGAGGACGACCAGCCACACUGGGACUGAGACACGGCCCAGACUCCUACGGGAGGCAGCAGUGGGGAAUAUUGCACAAGGGGCGCAAGCCUGAUGCAGCCAUGCCGCGUGUAUGAAGAAGGCCCUAGGAUUGUAAAGUACGUUCAGUCGGGAGGCGUUACCGACAGAAGAAGCACCGGCUAACUCCGUGCCAGCAGCCGCGGUAAUAC